UGGGGAAUAUUGGACAAUGGGCGCAAGCCUGAUCCAGCCAUGCCGCGUGAGUGAUGAAGGCCCUAGGGUUGUAAAGCUUUUUCACCGGUGAAGAUAAUGACGGUAACCGGAGAAGAAGCCCCGGCCAACUUCGUGCCAGCAGCCGCGGUAAUACGAAGGGGGCCGGCGUUGUUCGGAUUUACUGGGCGUAAAGCGCACGUAGGCGGACUAUUAAGUCAGGGGUGAAAUCCCGGGGCUCAACCCCGGAACUGCCUUUGAUACUGGUAGUCUUGAGUUCGGGAGGGGUGAGUGGAAUUCCGAGUGUAGGGGUGAAGUUCGUAGAUAUUCGGAGGAACACCAGUGGCGAAGGCGGCGCACUGGCUCGAUACUGACGCUGAGGUGCGAAAGCGUGGGGAGCAAACAGG
rnacentral:rRNA from 1 species